GCGGUGAUCCUCUGAGUAGCCAGGUCGAGUCUUUCAAUUAUCUUAGGCUAAUGUGGAACAGCAGAUCCUGAGUCUCAAGUGUUAAAAAUAAACACCAGGACUCUGCUGUUGGUCUGAAUCAUCUCCAAGGGUCAUGUGCUCUGCAGUUCAACUUGAAGGUUGCCUAAAAAGGUGGAUCAAGCUGUAUGGAGAUGGCGUCAGUUGACUUGAGGUUCCCCAAGAAGAUUGAAAAUGUAUGAAGACUCCAGCUGAUAUGCAAGAUGUCUGCAUGUGGCCAAUCGUUUCAGAUUUUCUGACUUAAAAUGGAGAUGAAUGACCCGUCAUUAAAGUAGUCUUCAUGGACUCCCAUCCAGUAUCUUCAUGACUGCCAUCCUUGUACAGUGGCCAGCUCUCCAUAGUGCAAUAUGAAGAAUGUUACUUGGAGGUGUCCAAAGGGCUUCAGCCUCUGCAGUUUUGAAAAGGGAUGAAGUUGAGUUCAUCUGGUUGACUUUUUGGGUGAAGUUUCAGUUGCCCCUCCCUUUGUUCAAAGGGCCUCAUCCUCUGUAAAAGAAUGAAGUUGUGUGCAUCUGCUUGACUGAGGAUUUUUUUCAAUGGAAAUGUGUUUUUUUUUUUUAUGACUUUAAUAAAUUGCUAUUAAUCUGAAGUUGGUGUGUGAGUUAAUCUGCAUUAAGUGUGGUAUCUUUCAAUGUAUUGCACGGAUAGUUGCAAGUAUGAUUUAAAUAGUUAAUGUAAACUCUUGAGUGGAUUUUAUUUUUUAUUUUUUUCUCAAGACCAUAAACCACACACACACACUGUUCCC
ensembl:processed_transcript